AUUGAACGCUGGCGGUAGGCCUAACACAUGCAAGUCGAACGAGUGGCGGACGGGUGAGUAAUGUCUGGGAAACUGCCUGAUGGAGGGGGAUAACUACUUGAAACGGUAGCUAAUACCGCAUACCAUCCGAUUUGCCCAGAUGGGAUUAGCUAGUUGGUGGGGUAAAGGCUCUCCAAGGCGACGAUCCCUAUCUGGUCUGAGAGGAUGACCAGCCACACUGGAACGGAGACACGGUCAAGACUCCGACGGGAUGCAGCAGUGGGGAAUAUUGCACAAGGGGCGCAAGCCUGAUGCAGCCAUGCCGCGUGUAUGAAGAAGGCCUUCGGGUUGUAAAGUACGUUCAGCGAGGAGGCGUUACCCGCAGAAGAAGCACCGGCUAACUCCGUGCCAGCAGACGCGGUAAUUC
rnacentral:rRNA from 1 species